CUUUUUUGGGGGACAUAUGAAGCAAGU
rnacentral:piRNA from 1 species